GGAGUGACUUAUGUCCAGAAGCACACCUUUGCACCAGUGGCCUUGGCACCCCCAAGGCAUGCUCCACAAACAGCUUGCACAUUCCUUUCUCACAGCGUGUGCUGCUGAAACAUUGAGGUUUGUGGACCGGACUUCUCUGUAGCCCUUGUAUUUAGUUUUCACUUCCUCUUUCUUGACCUCCUCCCACCCCCCACCCAACUGCAAGGUAGGGAGGCUACUGAGGGGCCAGCCUGUGGAUUCCAGAGGGCACAGGGCUAUCUGGGAUGGAGGGGACAGGGUUCUGAAGACAGAAGGUGGGAAGGUCACACUGUAAGGGCAGACAUACCCCAUUUCUUCUACCUAAACAACUGGGUGUAAUACCACUGUUUCCCUGAGAAACACUUUCAGGAUUAAAAAGUAUAUAAGUAAAGAAAAU
rnacentral:lncRNA from 1 species